rnacentral:rRNA from 1 species
AUUGAACGCUGGCGGCAUGCUUUACACAUGCAAGUCGGACGGCAGCGGGGUAGUGCUUGCACUACUGCCGGCGAGUGGCGAACGGGUGAGUAAUAUAUUGGAACGUACCGAGUAAUGGGGGAUAACCAAUCGAAAGAUUGGCUAAUACCGCAUACGCUCUGAGGAGGAAAGCAGGGGACCUUCGGGCCUUGCGUUAUUCGAGCGGCCAAUAUCUGAUUAGCUAGUUGGUGGGGUAAGGGCCUACCAAGGCGACGAUCAGUAGCGGGUCUGAGAGGAUGAUCCGCCACACUGGGACUGAGACACGGCCCAGACUCCUACGGGAGGCAGCAGUGGGGAAUUUUGGACAAUGGGCGCAAGCCUGAUCCAGCCAUGCCGCGUGUCUGAAGAAGGCCUUCGGGUUGUAAAGGACUUUUGUUAGGGAAGAAAAAGGAGCGGUUAAGACCCGUUUCUGCUGACGGUACCUAAAGAAUAAGCACCGGCUAACUACGU